UACGAAGGGGGCUAGCGUUGCUCGGAAUCACUGGGCGUAAAGCGCACGUAGGCGGAUCCUUAAGUCGGGGGUGAAAUCCUGGAGCUCAACUCCAAAACUGCCUUCGAUACUGAGGAUCUCGAGUCCGGGAGAGGUGAGUGGAACUGCGAGUGUAGAGGUGAAAUUCGUAGAUAUUCGCAAGAACACCAGUGGCGAAGGCGGCUCACUGGCCCGGUACUGACGCUGAGGUGCGAAAGCGUGGGGAGCAAACAGGG
rnacentral:rRNA from 1 species